rnacentral:rRNA from 1 species
AGUGAACGCUGGCGGUAGGCCUAACACAUGCAAGUCGAACGGCAGCACAGUAAGAGCUUGCUCUUACGGGUGGCGAGUGGCGGACGGGUGAGGAAUACAUCGGAAUCUACUUUUUCGUGGGGGAUAACGUAGGGAAACUUACGCUAAUACCGCAUACGACCUACGGGUGAAAGCAGGGGAUCUUCGGACCUGGCGCGAUUGAAUGAGCCGAUGUUGGAUUAGUUAGUUGGCGGGGUAAAGGGCCACCAAGGCGACGAUCCGUAGCUGGUCUGAGAGGGUGAUCACCUACACGGGAACAGAGGCACAUCCGAGACACUGGCACUGAGCAGCGGUGCGGAAUAUUACGGGAGGGAGGAGUGGCGAAUACAGCAAUACGGGCGGAAUGAAGAAGCCGCUCGGGUGGUAGAGCCCUUAUGGUGGGAAAGAUAUACAGCACUUUUACACGCGGCGGUACUGACGGUACCCGGAGAAUAAGCACCGGCUAACUUCGUG